CAUCCGUUUGUCUCUAUUGUUCUAUCUAAGUUACCCACCACUGCCGCUCUAUAGUUACUCUUCUUCUCCCCUCCUUCGGUUUUGUGUGAAUCCCUCUCCCUCUCCCUCUCCGUCUCCGACUCCGACUCCUGAAUUUUCUGAAUCAACUCCGACUCCCACAAAUCCGUUCUAUCUGAAUCCCUUAGGACUCCCACGAUUGUUGAAUCUAUCUAAAACCCUCUCUCUCCGUCUCCGACUCCAACUCCGACAAGAGAAAGGGUGCUGACUCGUGGAGAAACCAUAAUAUUAUGCGAGCCUAGAGUCCUCUCUCAUUUUACAUUAACUUUUAUCUUUUUUUCGCCAAUAAAAUUUAUGCUUACUGUAUUGGAUUCUUGGGGAUGAGAUUGGAGAAGCACCUUAAGAACUUCAGGUUUAAGAAGAAAUUGAAGCUGCAUUAUGGGUUCUGUUUGUUGCUGUUUGCAAGGUGAGGAUUUCGAAGAGUAUGUAGAUCCUAACAGUUCAGUUUACAUAAAUUGUAUGUGUCUCAGAUGCUUUGUUCAGAACUUCUUAAACGCGUUAUUCUUUGUGGGAAUCCGGAGGAUCUGAACGUUUCCAGAGAGUGAUAUCGAUCUGGUUAAUUAUCCAGAUCUGAGAGAGAGGUCGACUGUGCUCUGUUGGAUCGGGAUCCUCCAUAGCCUACAGAUGAUUCGGAUCCGUGUUCUAUUCUCUUCUUUAAAGCAAAGCUCUGUCUGGCUGCCGGCGGCUGGAGCGAGAGAACUGUGAGGGGAACCUGCAACUCGAUCAGAUCUGAUGAAGAUCUGGGUUUCGCCAGACAGCUGCACCCUGAGACUUGAAGACAAGGGGAAGGGGAUCAAAUCAUUUUUUUUGCCCUUCGUUGAUCUACAAAGGCUUGUUCAACUGCUCAACUUGCUGAGGUUGGGGAAUCGAGCAUGCCGAAGCUGAAGAGCGCGUUCUCUCUCUCUCUCUCUUAUAAACCUGCAACUGCUCAACUAGUCAGAGUUGGAGAAUCGGUGCGUGGGCCGCUAAGGCCAAGCCUGCCGAAAUUGAAGAGCGCGAGUAUGCGGCCGCUGCCGCUAAUUUUCAAUUUGCCGGGGAAAGUCGUAGAGUUUUCCGAAUUUAAGGAAGCCAUAUCUAUGGUUAAAUUGUGUUAAUAUACCUAAUUCUUUGGUGACCUGCUCGCA